ACGGCCUGGGGAGGGAGAGGGAUCCCGUGGUCACUGGCCCGGCCCCUCUUCACAUUCACUUCAAUCCCCUUGGGGCAAGGAAACUGAGGCAAAGAGCUCAGCAGCGUGCUCACAGGACUCAGCCGACAAGUGAGAGAGCAAAGCUGGAGCUCAGGCUGCUGCCCUCGAGGCUCCCAAAGUCUGCUUCCGGCCCCACCGGGGAGAGGGGAGGCCCAGGGCUGCUCCACAGCUCCCGCCCUGACAGGCUCUCCCUCCCACAAAGCCCCUGCCUCGUUUGAUCCUGCAGUGACCCUCAGUCCCCAAAUGAGAACCGUGAGGCCUGGCUACAAAUGCCUGGUCAAAGAAGGAACGUACUUUUCUGCUGUGCCAUGCUCCCCGGGCAUUCAGCCGGGCACCUAGGAAUGCCAAGUAGCUCAGGGGACAUAACUGUUCUGGAGCGUGUGCUGGUAUGUGCAGCGCUCACAGGAGGACAAGCAUCUUGAUGCCACUGAAGGCCCAGGCCCAGUGACGUAGCUUGGGUCAGCCCUGCCCGAACCGUGGGGGGUGAGCACUGGUACGUCUCCACCUCCACCUUUCUCACCUCCCCAAGGAGUGAAUUUCCUCCUACCUCCCCACCUGCAGGCAGCAUCCUGUGCCAGCCCAGCAGCUGGGCAGAGGCUCUCGGACGGAAGACGGCUGUCCCUGGAGCGGCACGGACCCGUCAGAGUCCAAGGCCCAGCUAAGGCUGCCACGUGCCCCCACCCAGCGCUCCCCGAACCUCCGGGCUGACCUUGUCCACUUGCUCCAGCCAGGAUGUUCCAGAACCUGCCAGGAAAUACCAGUGCACCCAAAAUAUGAGAGACAUCAUCCUGUGUGGAGAGCCUGAGAUGUGAACAACCUAUGAGCCUAUGUGCCCUGUCUCAGAGGUGGGAACUCAGAGCCAACACCAACACCGUCCCAGCAGCAAGCUCUUCCCAUGGACCUCUGCUCCACUGAACUCAGGCAGCAUCUCCUCUCUUGGAGAGGAGCCGCUUCCUCUCUCGACUGCGUCCCGCUCAGGUCCCCUCUGUUAUUCUGAAUCACAAACCCAGGCCUUUGCCUCCACACAACAGUGACAGUCCCAAGUACACUCUCAUGUCUGUGCUCCUCUGCCUCCCCGACUAGACCAUGGCUCCAUACCAGCAGGGACUGUUGAGCUCACAGUGUACCUAUAACUCUGCUCAGUAACUACAUGGAGGAGUGAAUGAAUGUGCGGCCAGUGAGAAGGGCUACAAUCAAGAUGCUUCCAGAAUACGAGCACGUCAGACAAAUGUAACACAAAGCAUCUAAACCUGACAGACUCAACAUAAAAUGGAACAGCCACCUCCAAAACUGGAAAGAUGCUAAGAAAUCAACACGUUGCCCUAUCUCUGGAGUGAGAUUAGGGAGCUCCCAACCUGGUCAGAAUGUCAAAUGUGGCUCAGAGGCUCAGGCUCAGUGUGAUCAGGAAGCCCAGCACCCUCAGCAGAGGUUAUUCCUUAUCUCCUCCAACAGCUGCCAGGAGAGGGGAACUAAGAGUAGAGGCGGCGGUUUGGGUACCGAGCUGUUUUACGUGGUACCUCAGUGAAUACUCACACCAGCCCGCCCAUGAGAGGGAGGAACCCUGCCCGCAGAGGUGGAGCCUGAGGCUAUGACUGAAGUGCCCUCCAGAACCCACAGUCCAUACCAUUCUAACACCUGUGUUCAGCAAAUAGCCUUUGGGGUUACAGCUAGGUCUGCCUGGUGCCUCUCUUUACCAGGAAGGCCACUUUGAGCCUAUUCAGAUUUUUCCCUUUGCCUCUGGUGAAGCUGGCUGUUGUGAGCCUGCCUGCGAGAGUUCUGGGCGACUGGGCAGAACCAGCACACUGGAAUGAACAGCACCUAGGCCCUGGCACUUGAGGCCACUGCUUCUCACUGCACACUGGCCCUGUGCCCAGCACUUCACUCAUGUUAUUUCAUUUAAGCCUCGCUACCGUCUUAGAAGGAAGAUGCUGCCAUUAUACAAAUUUUAAAGCAGAGGAAACUAAGAGAGGCUAAGUUGCUUGUCUAGUUUUACCCAGCUAAGAGAAACAUGGGACAGGGACCUGACCCACCUCCAAGCCAUAAGCCACUUGCUUCAACCUCAUUCUGCAUUGCCUCUGGCUGUGGACAAAGCACUUUUCAAAAGCCCAGAUCCUGCCCCAGGUCUCAGAGACACACACGCUCUCUUACCCAAAGAUCCAUGUGAUGCUGAGGUCCCCAAAAAUGUGUUUUCUGACUGGCUCAGGUGGCCCUGGGGCUGCUGCAGGAAAUGUGAGGAGAGGCUGACAGGAGGGGACGGGGAUGCUGAGUGGAAGGAAGCAGAACUGCCCAAGGAACCAGGGAUGUUCACGGGCGCAGAACUCUGCAGCAAACUGCCACCUGGAAGAGAGGCCCCGGAGGGCCAGUAAGGGCAGGGCAAGCGAUGCGGAGCCACACCAGCAGGGGGCAGCUCAUGUGCCCAUCUUGGGCCAGGUUGGACCCCCUACGAGCCCUCCCUCGAGUGCUGCCCGCCCGCUGCCCAGUACCAAUUGUGAUGCUGCCUGGGUGGGGCACUGUGCUGUUAUCGAAAGUCUUCUCUAGGGCGGCCACCCCAAACUCGUUCAGGUCCAGGUCAUCCAAGGCAGAUUCUGGAGACAGACAGAUUGGGGUGUGAGCCUCCUUGCCUCCUGAGAGGCCACACCACCCUGAGGUUCCAGGCCUCGCCCCCAGGACCCACCUGCCCUCUACUGCCUCCUCUUCACGCUCAGUCCCACUAGACCCAUGCUCUCGAGCCUCUGCCUGUCGGGCUGCUGCUCUGCCAACACAGACGCCCUGCGCUAUCUGCCUCGCCAAGUCCAGCUCAAAUGGCGCACUUUUCCGAAAUCUUCACUGAUACCUCCAAGGAACCCAAUGCAGGGUUCCUGACUCUGACAGAGGUCUUGUCUCCUGCUGUUACAGCUCAUAUCAUCCCUGAGUUCUCUGGGGGGCAAGCAAGCCUCUGGGCCCUCAGUGGCUACUGCAUAGUAGGUGCUUGACAAAUAUCCACUGCCCUCUGCUGGACUAGACUGGGAAGCUGGGAACAACAGGAACACCCUGUCUGCGUCUCUUAACAUCCCAGUGCUUAAAACACGAUCUGGCACAAAGUAGCACCCAUAAAUGACUGCUGAGAGAGAAGGGCAGUGGCUUCAAAUGGCCAGGAACUCUGAGGACAGUUGUGCAGGCUGUUCACUACACAAGGAUACCUAGUGAGAAAAUGAGUGAGGGCUGAACCACCUAUGUCGUGGAAUGAGACUGCACUUGUCCAGAGAAAGAGUUAUGUCUUUCUAAUUUGCACAACAGAGCAAACUGAAGGGCUACUUACUUUCCUGUAAGGGCUAGUCUUGGGCCACACCUUGGGCUCAUUUUCCCUUUUCAAAGGGCUCAGAGUGCCCACCCUCUGACUCUCUCAAGAUAAAUGUCUACUGGUUUGAAUCUCACUCCAGGGACCUAGUUUCUCUAACUCCAGAUCCAGUCCUGGACUUGGCAACAGAAAUGGCCUAAUUACCUA